AUUGAACGCUGGCGGAAUGCUUUACACAUGCAAGUCGAACGGCAGCACGGACUUCGGUCUGGUGGCGAGUGGCGAACGGGUGAGUAAUAUAUCGGAACGUAUCCAAUAAUGGGGGAUAACUAAUCGAAAGGUUGGCUAAUACCGCAUACGUCCUACGGGAGAAAGCUAGGGACCUUCGGGCCUGGCGUUAAUGGAGCGGCCGAUAUCGGAGUAGCUAGUUGGUGAGGUAAAGGCUCACCAAGGCGACGAUCCGUAGCUGGUCUGAGAGGACGACCAGCCACACUGGAACUGAGACACGGUCCAGACUCCUACGGGAGGCAGCAGUGGGGAAUUUUGGACAAUGGGCGAAAGCCUGAUCCAGCCAUUCCGCGUGAGUGAAGAAGGCCUUCGGGUUGUAAAGCUCUUUCGCAAGAGAAGAAAACUUACCCUCUAACAUAGGGUGAGGUUGACGGUAUCUUGAUAAGAAGCACCGGCUAACUACGUGCCAGCAGCCGCGGUAACAC
rnacentral:rRNA from 1 species